UCAAACCCAGUUAUCUUGAAAUCCUCAUCUUGAAAACCUAACCCCUUCACAAUUGACUCCUUCAAGUCAGAAAUAGCUUUAAGAUAUGGAUGAUUGAUACCUUUGCCAGCGACGGAAGUUGCAAAUGGAGAAAUCGAACAACAAUCGCAAGAACAAAGAUGGCCAAGAAAUAACAACAACUGGAUGAUCUCAAAUCCAUUGAUAAAAACUUAGAAAUGCUAAGAGCAACGGGAAGAUGAGAUUGCUAAUUUUCCCAUUUUUUUACAAAGUGAAGUUUGGUGGUGGAUGAGGGUCGUUGUCAAUUGUCAAAUGUCUUCCCAAUAUUGAAAAAGACCAC
rnacentral:lncRNA from 1 species